rnacentral:rRNA from 1 species
AGAAACUGCCGAUGAUAAGUCNGAGGAAGGUGUGGAUGACAUCNAGUCCUCAUGGCCCUUACGGGUUGGGCUACACACGUGCUACAAUGGCAUCGACNAUGGGCUAAUCCCCAAAUGUUGUCUCACUUCNNAUUGUCCUCUGCAACUCGAGGGCAUGAAAUCNGAAUCGCUAGUAAUCNCGUAACAGCAUGACUCGNUGAAUACNUUCCCGGGCCUUGUACACA